CAGGCCGCCACGGGAAUACGUAGGGGGCAAGCGUUAUCCGGAAUUACUGGGUGUAAAGGGAGCGUAGACGGUUAAACAAGUCUGAAGUGAAAUGCCGGGGCUCAACCCCGGAGCUGCUUUGGGAACUGUAGAACUGGAGUGUCGGAGGGGUAAGCGGAAUUCCCAGUGUAGCGGUGAAAUGCGUAGAUAUUGGGAGGAACACCGGCGGCGAAGGCGGCUUACUGGACGACAACUGACGUUGAGGCUCGAAGGCGUGGGUAGCAAACAGGAUUAGAUACCCGCGUAGUCCCUGUCUCUUAUA
rnacentral:rRNA from 1 species